GCAGGGUCAUUUUUCGCAGCCUGUGAGACCCCGGAAUUGCAGAUGAAAAUGACGGCAAAGGACCUUUUGGAUCAGCCAUGCUCAAAGAAUGCUGAAAAGCCUCUUCUACGAACAAAAUCAUCCAGGAGACUUCCAAGGAAGAGUUCCUCCCCUUCAGAAAAACCUCUGCAGAUGCCUCAGUGAAGUGCCUCAAGUCAUAAGGAAGGGAGCUAGAACAUCAAUCUGCAUCUGUUGUCUCCUGCAGAGUUGUCAUCAGUCAUCUUGUCUGAACCAACAGGUAAGGGACAGCAUGAUCCAAAGGGCAGCCCCAGAACUAGGGGUCAGGUGAGGUUGUCCCAGACAAGGUCACCUCCCUGAGCCUCAGUUCUAACUCUAAAAUGAGAAAAACACUUAUUGCUCCAAUUUAUUUUCUGUUUUAGAGGAAAAAUACUCUGUAAGUGCUAUGGUUUAUUAUUCUAAUGUGACUGUAAAAUCAUGAUGUCUUUAUUGCAAAAUGAUCUUUAAAACAUGAAGCAUUAGGAUGGUGACUGAAAUCAUUAGUAUCAAAUUGUUCUGCUUUUGCCCUGUCACAUUGAUACUUCAAAGCAAAAUUGUCUCGUGGGCGUUUAUAAGAUUUCGUAAGGAUAGCUUGUCUUUUCAAACCUUCUUCAGGGGAGGAGGGAAGAAGCCCCCAGACGUUUUCUUAAUGAAUGAGGACCAGGGGGCUCUGCCUGUUUAAUUCUUCUGAUUUCUUUUAAUAUUUAAAUUCCAAACCUGCUAACAAUCAACGUGAUGAAAAUGAGCCUCUGCUUGUUUUGGAAAUGGUGCGGGCAGACAUCCCUGCUCCCCAGCCCCACCUGAGCUGUGAGCUGUGAGCACUGUUGUGCUCACUGAGAUGCUGUCUGGUGGAGACCACAGUGCCCCAUCCCUCCCUCUGCCCACAGAAGGUAAGUGGAGGUCUCCCUGUAGUCCCAAAGCUCCCUGGGACCACUGAGAAGAAAUGCAGGUAAAUUUAAUGAAGAGGAACAUUCAGGUAGAAGACAGACAGGAACCUAUACCAAGCCUUCUUCUGGUGCUGGAGAACCCAGCCAGAAGGCACAGCCCCAUAACAAACCUCAUUCCAUCACCUCACGAAGGAGUUGGUAGUGACUGGACUGGGGAAGAUGCUCCAGGUUUGUGCAGAUGGCCUGCCACAGGGUCAUGAGCUUGUACAACUCUGCUCACAGCUGCUUCAGGUAGUUCUUGGGAAAAUGCUACACCCAGGCCCUUACAUCAAAUUUAUAACAAAACCCAGGUGUAGGAGAGCAGAGACAAACAUCCCCACCUUUACCUGUCCCUCAGGUUUCCAUGAGUUCAUUGCUGGCCCUGCAAUCAGAUCUCAGAAGUCUGCACUGAUGAUAUCAGGUUUUUGAGAACUUUCUGUGUGGUUUGGGGAAAGUUUCUUUUUAUUAUACUGUGUUACAUGGGUCUGAGAGACACAGAAACAAUUGUGUGUUUACGUAUACAACGUCACAAGUAAAGGCCAACAAAGGAAAAACCAAUAGCGUGGCUCUGAUGCUACUAUUGAGUAUGACUACUAUCUAGUUUUAUGGCAAACCAGUUCAUUAGCAUUUAAAUCGAUUCUUAAAUAUUUUCUCUGAAAUUCAGAGCAAUAUAAGCCUUAAAUCCAGGACUGGUAAUGUUGUGAUUUUUAUGUCUAAUUUUAGAUUUAAUUUUUGCUCUAAUAGAUUGAGAUUAUAUGGCCACACAAUUUCCGAGAGCUGCUUUAAAAUGCACAGAUUUGUGUUUUGCCUAUAAUGAGUAAAGAAAAAAAAUAAAAAGGAAGUAGGCAUUAUCACAUACCCAUAUGCAAAAUUGACAGAAAAUCUUCAAAUUCCUGAACAUAAACUCCUCACACAUUCCAGCUUACAAAUUAAAAGCCUAGAGAGAAGAUGUAUCUUUUAAGCUGUGUACAGGACUUAAAAUAUCAAUCAAAAGGACCUUGACAAUCCUGUAAAUUGAACGCCAUAGACUUCAGUCUGUGCAUACCUAUAUUGUUCCAAACUUGGCAUAAAAUACAAGCAAAAUGAGUCAAGUGGCCUCCAUCCAGCCUCUGUCCGCAUAUGAUGGGGUUCAGUGGUCACCAUGAUCUCUUUCUGACAGCACCUGCUCCACCAGUGCCUGUGGGUGGAGGGCAGCAGUGGUGGGGGCUUGCAGGGAACAAAUCACACUCUCAGUAUGUUGACAUUUAUAGACUGUAGACAUAAAAAAUGCCCCUUGCCUAUCUCUGCCGUAUACUUCAGACCAUUAUUUUCUCUGCUAAAUUUGACCAGCUACCCCUUAAAGCAUUAAAAAAAAAAAAAAAAAAAUGUUCAUACUGCUUUCACACUGCUACAAAAAGGCAAAACUCACCACAAGCCAAAUUUCUUUGGCUUUUCUGUCUUUUCAGUGACCUUUGUGAGUGGGAGCAUAUUUUCACUCCGUUUAUUUGAUUCUGUUAGUUAAUCUCACCCCAUGGAUUGUAAAAUCCUUGUGAGUUUUGUGGUUUCAAGAGGUGUUUUUUUGUUGUUGUUGUUGUUGUUUUGUUUGUUUGUUUGUUUGUUUGUUUCAGCUGUGGUUUCUAUAGCUGAGUAAUCUGGUGCUGCUUACUUCAGUCACAACUAGAACUGGAAAUCCUUCAGAGACUGACAAGUUAACAAAUGGACACUAGCAAUAUUCUGUUGCUCAUCUGCCUGAUGUUGUAUUUUAAUUAGAUUGAGGAAGAUAAAAAGGCUGC